GGGUGACACAGUGACAGAGUGAGGGAGCGGGUGACACAGUGACAGAGUUAGGGAGGGAGUGACUAGUGACAGAGAGAGGGAUGGGGUGACUAGUGACAGUCACCCCCCUCACUCUGUCACUAGUCACCCCAUCCCUCCCUCACUUUGCCACUAGUCAUCUCUUCCCUCCCUCACUCUGCCACUAGUCACCCAUUCCCUCACUCUGUCACUAGUCACCCCUAUCUCCCUCCCUCUGUCACUAGUCACCCACUCCCUCACUCUGUCACCAGUCACACC